AGCUAGCUGUACAAGCUAAUUAUACUUAGGAAUAUAAAAACUUCUAAAUUUUGAGGGAUCCAUUUCAUUCAAUAUUGAGUAUUCUUGUACAAUUUUGCUCUUUUCUUGUUAGAUUUCUUCUUCUAACUUCUUCUCUGAUGACACUAGAGGAGACCGAUUCAGCAUCUAUCCACUUCAAUACUUAUUGACUUUUUCUUAAUUGGAUAGAUUCUUCCCAUCUUAAAAUUUAACGUUAGUCUAAACUAUUAAUUAAUUGAAAUUAUAUAUGCUGCAAUUGUGUCAUAGACGUCAGCUCUUUUCACCAAAACCUUUUUUUUUCUUUUUCUUAACUUAAACUACUUCCUGUUUAGCUUCAUAAUAAGUACAAGGACUUGCUUAUACUAAAAUAAUAUUAUGAACCUCGCACACUAUUAAAUGAGUGAAUGUAUCUGUAGAGUCUAUGUAGUUUAAAUGUGCACGAUUGUAUGAGGAUUGUAGCAAUGUUCUUGCAGCUCUAACACUAGGAUCAAUCAUAGGGACUCUGGUAACCAUUCUCAUCAAACUCGCUGAAGAGUUCGGAGUAAAACCUAGCCCACUGAGUUUCUAGCUGGGUCUUCUCAGCAGGUCGAUUCCCGACCAGUAGUAGGUGCAUUCGCGAAGUAGCUGUCCUUGAGCUGUUUGGUCUCGAGACACUGUCAGCAAAUCUCACCCCUCCUGGCUGAGCUUGAAAGAGAUUCUAGUCAUCCUUCCAUUGUAAAAUAAAAAGAAAUGUAACAAUUUACUAGAGUGUGUGUAUCUAUCUGCAUUUAGUUUUAUUUAAUCGUAACGUUAUAUUUAAUGUCUUUUUUUGGACUUUUAAUUUUAAAGUUGAAUAUAAUUGAAUACAAAAAAAAGAUAACUAUUAAAUCGGUGGUAUCUACACGAAACUGCUUAAAUAGCAUAAAUAUGUUUUAUUUAUUUUUUAGUUAGUACUUCUAAAGCAUUUAGAUUUCUUUGUCUUAUUUAAUAAUUAAUGUCUUUUAUUUCAAGCUUUUCAGUUGUAUUUCUGUGGUCCAAGUGAAAUACAUUGGAAUAAUAGCUAACUUGCGUUUCAAACCGAAAUGCACAAUGGUUUUUAUAACUCGGACUUUGAACAAACAACACAGAAAAAGUGGCAGACGUUAAAAGCCAGAUAAACAGAAUAUUUUCGUAGUGUUUGAGCUAUUUUACAGUCGAACGCUCGCUUUGGCUGUAGGUGCGGCAAUGCUCGAGAAUUCUUCUACAAAGUUAUCGGAAACUUGGGAAGUUCUUCACAAUUCAUCCGCAUCACUUCACCUUACUGCGGAUUAAGUUUGGAAAAUUCUAUGUUCGUUUCGUUGCGUCCAAUUUUGAUUUAUUGCUGACUAUAUUCAGCUGAUGCCGACGGCCCACAUGAAGAUCUUAAAAAUUUAUUGCUGUACGAUUUGUAGAUGGGCUAUUUUUCAAAAUAUUCUCCAGAGCGUUGCUCGAUCAAAUAUACCUUAGAAACAUAGAAACCGGCAAUGAAACAAAAAGCAGCACACUGUCGCAAAUCUUAACAAUAGCAUGAAAAAAAGACGAAGGGCAUGUUUGUUUUAUUUCUCUUAAAAAUGAAAUUGCAUCAGUUUCUUCAACUUGGAUCGAUGUACGAAGUGCGUGGACAUGAAAAUUGGACCUACAAGAAGCUUACUUGAUUAAAAUAUAAAGUACAGGACUACUCAACCGAUAACUGUUAAAAAUAUACAUCUAACAGGUGAACUCUAUUACCAGGAAUAGCUUGUAGCAAGCAGUUUUUCUUUUCAGCGUCGUCAUCAAUAUUGGAAAUAUGAAAAUUCGUGAAAAUCCUACGGGGACGAAGACAUUAGCAUAUUUAUUAAUAUCAUCCAAACGGGAAGCGUUCCGCUAUCGAUAAUAACCCCAGACGAACGAUCGCUUUCGUAUCUUAAAUGACAGACUCAAGUUAUUGCAAGUUAAUUCACACAUAAAUUAUUUUUAUAAGCGAUGUUAGGUAAAUAUAUUAUUAUCGCUUUUU